UACGUAGGGGGCGAGCGUUGUCCGGAAUUAUUGGGCGUAAAGAGCUCGUAGGCGGUCUGUCGCGUCGAUCGUGAAAACUUGGGGCUUAACCCUGAGCUUGCGGUCGAUACGGGCAUGACUGGAGUUCGGCAGGGGAGACUGGAAUUCCAGGUGUAGCGGUGAAAUGCGCAGAUAUCAGGAGGAACACCGAUGGCGAAGGCAGGUCUCUGGGCAUUAACUGACGCUGAGGAGCGAAAGCAUGGGGAGCGAACAGG
rnacentral:rRNA from 1 species